AUCACCAACCCUUGACAACUAUUUUCUUAUAAGACACAUAAUAUUCGUCCUCUUUAAAUUAAAACCACAACACUCGAUCUCUUCUUCAUAAUCCUCAGCUCCUCACAGCUUAUCAUUAAAUUAAAAUGAAUCAACCCGAUCACAGCACAUCUUCAGCCAUAGUGGAAAAACCUCUACAGGGGCCGUACACAAGUCCUCCGCCUCUUGGUUAUCCGACCAGAGAUGCUAUGUUGGGUGAUCCUAAGGCGGCCGCAGUGGAGACAAAGUAUAAAGGAGAUGGGUUUUGGAAAGGAUGUUGUGCUGCUAUAUGCUGUUGUUGUGUUCUGGACGCAUGCUUCUGAGACUCCGGGGUUUAUGAUUUCAUGCACAUUAUUGCUUAAUAAAAAGAAGUUUGUAGCUGUUUUACUGAAUUACUCUAUGUGGAAUAUACUCUGUGGAUGGUUGUCGUUGUUCUGUUUCAGGUAUAUUAAUAACUGAUUGUAUUAUAUAUCAAAGUGAAUUUGGUUU